rnacentral:tRNA from 1 species
GCGGCGGCUGCGGCGGCUGCUGAGCCCGGGCCCGGCGGGCGCUCACCGGGCCGGUUCGGGCCCGGCCGCCGCA